GACAGAGGUCCCGAGCGUUAGGCGGAAUCACUGGGCUUAAAGCGUGUGUAGGCGGAUGCCUAAGUACCUUGUGAAAUCCCACGGCUCACCCGUGGAACUGCUUGGUAUACUGGGUGUCUUGAGCCACUUAGGGGCUACCGGAACAAAUGGUGGAGCGGUGAAAUGCGUAGAUAUCAGGAGGAACACCGGUGGCGAAGGCGGGUCUCUGGGCCGAUACUGACGCUGAGGAGCGAAAGCGUGGGGAGCGAACAGG
rnacentral:rRNA from 1 species